rnacentral:rRNA from 1 species
GCUUGUCUCAAAGAUUAAGCCAUGCACGUCUAAGUAUAAGCGAUUAUACUGUGAAACUGCGAAUGGCUCAUUAUAUCAGUUAUAGUUUAUUUGAUGGUCCUUGCUACUUGGAUAACCGUAGUAAUUCUAGAGCUAAUACAUGCAUAAAUCCCCGACUGCUUGGAAGGGGUGUAUUUAUUAGAUAAGAAACCUUCCCCUUUGGGUUGCGUGCCGAGUCACAAUAACUGCUCGAAUCGCAUGGCUUCACGCCGGCGAUGGUUCAUUCAAAUUUCUGCCCUAUCAGCUUUCGAUGGUAGGAUCGAGGCCUACCAUGGCGUUUACGGGUAACGGAGAAUUAGGGUUCGAUUCCGGAGAGGGAGCCUGAGAGAUGGCUACCACAUCCAAGGAAGGCAGCAGG